GUAGAACUUCCGGCAGCAACUGCAAUUAGGGGUAGUCCAGUGCUAAAUUGUCGCAGCCUUGAAAAUAUUCUGCUUCGUUAUUUCGGGCACUCCACAGAUUCUGUUGCGAAGGCAGCCAUCUUUAGUUCGUCUUUCCUAGAGAGCGUUGAGAAGAUUCUGCUCCAUUUUUUCUGAUUAUGGAUUCUGUUCAGAAGGAAGCCGAAUUUUAAGUCAUCGUUCUAGGAUAGAUUCAGCUCCAUUUUCUCUGGUGGUAGAUCUCCAUGGAUGCUAUUGAGAAGGUACUUCUCAAAGUCCACGAGGACAAGGACAUCUUUCCACCGAAUGCCACCUGGUUUAUAACAAAAGCAUGAAAAACAAACAGGAAUUUCUCAAUGCAGAAAGGACUGAAGCUGUCAAAGGUGUGCUUUUUUUCUGCACAAACAAGUUUCCAUUGAAUGAUAGAAUAAAGAGAUACUGACUUCCCCGGAGCCUCCAAACUUGAGUAGUCAGCAGGCAUUGGGAUCCGUGGAAGGCUUGUUAAAUCCAAAUAGAUUGGUCCUACUCCAUCCGCAGAGUUGCUGACGAGGUGCGUCCAGGCCUUCUCCUCACCUCUCAGGGAGAUAUACCAUGCAGUGCCUUCAGUUAUGGUGUUGUGACUGAGGAUGCUUCGGUCAGACAUGUCCCUGAAAACCUGCAUAGAGGAAUCUCUUGCCCCAAGUUUCAUUCCAAGUAUUUAAAUUGGAAUUGAGCAUCCUGUCAUGCCAGGGAUGAGAAUGCCUGGGUUACAUCAGUUAGCCCUCUCCUCUUGAGGAAUGGCAUAUUACCCAUUUUAGCUGCACUUCAAGGGAAGUUAUUGAAUAUGUCCUAUCCAACUAAAACAAGGAAAUGAUGAAAAAAAUAAAAUCACUUUCCAGAGGCCUCAGGGCUAACUGGAGACAGAGCUCAGACUGCAACUGAGAAAAGUUGGACUCCAAAACCUGUACUCUGAGCUUUACUGCAUGAGAAAGUUAUUGAAAUGUGCCUUGUGACAUUCAGAAUAAGUGACUUUUCAGAGGUCUCAGAGUCAGUAAGAGACAGAACUCAGAUUGUAACCAAGAAGAGCUGAACUCCAAACUUCUGUGUCCGGAAUUGGUGGGUUCUUGGUCUCACUGACUUCAAGAAUGAAGCGGCAGACCCUCGCGCAUUUCAGUUCCUUGGUGCUCCUUGGAUUUGAGGAAAUUCCAAUAUUUCCUUUGGAGUCACAUGGAUACUGCCUAAUUUUCCCAGCAGGGAUGUAUGAAAACACAUGCUUGUUUUCAAGUGAAGAUAAUCCCAUCACCAAUUCUGCUUUAGCUGCAUAAAGAAAGCUGAUCAAAAACAUGCCUGGUGGAUUUAUUGUUAUUGGUUCUGUUGAUAAAUAACCUAUUUUUAUAUAUUAGGACCCUUUUUUCUAUAAACAUAGUUGAAAUAUUUCCUAAGUCUCCUGCCUUGCAUUAUUCUAGCAGGUUGUUCCCUUAUUACUGUCCUGAUUAGUGGUACUUCUGAUAUUAUUCUUCUGAAUGCUAUGUUGAAGCUUUUAGAAAUGUGAAAUAAGGGGCCAAAACUUUCUGGUGUCAUGGGCUUGGUAACUAAACAGGUCUUUGUUUUGGGUUCUAGAUGACUAUCUGGAAAAUGCGGCCAAGGGCUCUUCUCACAACCAGUCAGCAAAUCCAUUAUCUGAGUUGGUUAAAGAGUGCUUUUGGCAGUUUUGGAAAUCUUCUAAACCCAUCAGAUUCCUGAAAAAAAAAAAAUUUUAAUCCACUGUUAUUGAAGUUUUCUACUUUAUAUAGCUCAGCAUAAUCUCAGCUUAGGAUCCUUAAUAUAAGUAACACUUACUUGAAUUACCCAGGUGGUUUUCUGACUUUAUAUCAAUCAUAACCUACUGUAAUCAUACACAGAAAAAUGGUGUUUCAGCCAAUGAUAAACCACAUGUACAAAGGUGGUCCCAGAAGAUUACAAUGAAAUGUAUAUAAAAACCUAAUAUAUGACACUUGAUAUUGACAGGUCAAAUCAAGUAGGGGAAAUGAUUGACAUUCAGUAAUGGUUCUGGGGCAUUUGGCUUUCCUUAUGAAAAAAUAUAUAUAAAUAUAAAUAUAUAUAUAUAUAUAUAUAUAUACCAUCUAUGUUUGUGUAAGUUUGUGUACACUCUACGAUGCAAACAUAAGGAUGAAACCACCUAAUGGUGCAUUUCCCAGAACGUGUCCCCAUCAUUAAGCAAUACAUAAUUGUAUUUACAUUAGUAAAUUUUCUUUUUUUGUGAAACCAAAUGCACAAGUGAUUAAAUAAAAUGGAUAAAUUGGACUUAAUAAAAUUAAAACUAUUUGUUUCAAUGACACCAUCAAGAAAAUAAAAAGACAUCUCACAAGCUGAAAUAAAAUGUUUACAAUAUCCCA